rnacentral:rRNA from 1 species
CGUCAGCUCGUGUCGUGAGAUGUUGGGUUAAGUCCCGCAACGAGCGCAACCCUUGCCUUUAGUUGCCAGCAUUGAGUUGGGCACUCUAAAGGGACUGCCGGUGUUAAACCGGAGGAAGGUGGGGAUGACGUCAAGUCCUCAUGGCCCCUAUGUCCAGGGCUACACACGUGCUACAAUGGUCGAUACAAAGGGCUGCGAACCCGCGAGGGGGGGCUAAUCUCAAAAAAUCGGCCUCAGUUCGGAUCGGAGUCUGCAACUCGACUCCGUGAAGUUGGAAUCGCUAGUAAUCGCGGAUCAGCAUGCCGCGGUGAAUACGUUCC